rnacentral:lncRNA from 1 species
AUGCAGGGAAAUGGGAGAGGACAAGAGAGAAUCAUAGAUCUGCAUGGUCUUCAUGUUACUGAGGCCAUUCAUGUCCUUAAGCGUGAGCUGUCUGUGUUGAGGAAUGCUGCCAGAUCAGCAGACCAGCGAAUACAGGUUUAUAUUUGCGUUGGAACAGGACAUCAUACAAAGGGUUCGCGUACUCCUGCUAGGCUUCCCAUUUCUGUCCAGCGUUACCUGCUAGAGGAGGGCCUUGACUACUCUGAGCCACAACCAGGGCUUCUCCGAGUUGUGAUAUACUGAGGUGUGAAGGUAUAGGAGUUUUUGACACGUCAUUAUCCUAGAAAAUCCAUCAGAUGAAGAAAAAGAAAAAAAGAAAAUUGUUGUACCUGUAAAUGGGGGGAACGGAAGGUUAGUGCAAAUUCUGG